GAAGUAGUCAGCCUCUUCAUCAUGACUAGUGAGAAUAUCCUCCAGGACUUUGAUAUCAUCAUUUGUGACAUCUGCACAGUAGGGCUCCACUGAGGCCCAGAAUCGAUUGACAGCAUCAUUCUUCGGAAGCCGAGUCUGAGACCUGCAGCUGCUAACAGAGUUUCCAGGUCGGACUGAAUGGCAUCCAGCUCCUCAACUCCAAUACCAUCUUCUUCAGAUCGUGUUAGAACUAUGAAGAAUAAAACACCAAAGGCUUUCAGAGAAGCAUGUGAAUCAGAAACUAAAAAAAACCAAACCAAGAGGCCCAUGGGCCUUCAUGGUCACCUAAGUAACAUGCAACAUUCUUUCAAUGAACAAGUUAAUCAAACAAGAUGUUAAUUAUUUUUUAAAAAUAAAUUGUCCAAAGCUU